rnacentral:rRNA from 1 species
GUAGCCAAGCCCGGAAGGGAUAAACGCUGAAGGCAUCUAAGCGUGAAGCCCCCCUCAAGAUGAGAUAUCCCAUCCGAAAGGAGUAAACCCCCUUGAAGACGACGAGGUUGAUAGGGCAGAGGUGGAAGUGUGGUAACACAUGGAGCUGACUGCUACUAAUAGGGUGAGGGCUUGACCAAAAA